UACGUAGGGUGCGAGCGUUGUCCGGAAUUACUGGGCGUAAAGAGCUCGUAGGUGGUUUGUCGCGUUGUUCGUGAAAACUCACAGCUUAACUGUGGGCGUGCGGGCGAUACGGGCAGACUGGAGUACUGCAGGGGAGACUGGAAUUCCUGGUGUAGCGGUGGAAUGCGCAGAUAUCAGGAGGAACACCGGUGGCGAAGGCGGGUCUCUGGGCCGAUACUGACGCUGGAGGAGCGGAAAGCGUGGGGAGCGAACAGG
rnacentral:rRNA from 1 species